rnacentral:rRNA from 1 species
AGAGUUUGAUCCUGGCUCAGGAUGAACGCUGGCGGCGUGCUUAACACAUGCAAGUCGAACGAAGCACUUUAUUUGAUUUCUUCGGAACGAAGAUUUUGUGACUGAGUGGCGGACGGGUGAGUAACGCGUGGGUAACCUGCCUCAUACAGGGGGAUAACAGUUGGAAACGACUGCUAAUACCGCAUAAGCGCUCAGGGUCGCAUGACCUGGUGUGAAAAACUCCGGUGGUAUGAGAUGGACCCGCGUCUGAUUAGCCAGUUGGUGGGGUAACGGCCUACCAAAGCGACGAUCAGUAGCCGACCUGAGAGGGUGACCGGCCACAUUGGGACUGAGACACGGCCCAAACUCCUACGGGAGGCAGCAGUGGGGAAUAUUGCACAAUGGGGGAAACCCUGAUACAGCGACGCCGCGUGAGCGAAGAAGUAUUUCGGUAUGUAAAGCUCUAUCAGCAGGGAAGAAGAAAUGACGGUACCUGACUAAGAAGCACCGGCUAAAUACGUGCCAGCAGCCGCGGUAAUACGUAUGGUGCAAGCGUUAUCCGGAUUUACUGGGUGUAAAGGGAGUGCAGGCGGUACGGCAAGUCUGAUGUGAAAGCCCGGGGCUCAACCCCGGUACUGCAUUGGAAACUGUCGGACUAGAGUGUCGGAGGGGUAAGUGGAAUUCCUAGUGUAGCGGUGAAAUGCGUAGAUAUUAGGAGGAACACCAGUGGCGAAGGCGACUUUCUGGACAGUAACUGACGUUGAGGCACGAAAGUGUGGGGAGCAAACAGGAUUAGAUACCCUGGUAGUCCACACCGUAAACGAUGGAUACUAGGUGUAGGGGAUGAAUAAUCUUCUGUGCCGUCGCAAACGCAGUAAGUAUCCCACCUGGGGAGUACGGCCGCAAGGUUGAAACUCAAAGGAAUUGACGGGGGCCCGCACAAGCAGUGGAGUAUGUGGUUUAAUUCGACGCAACGCGAAGAACCUUACCAGGGCUUGACAUAUAGAGGAAUAACUAAGAGAUUAGUUAGCUCUUCGGAGUCUCUAUACAGGUGGUGCAUGGUUGUCGUCAGCUCGUGUCGUGAGAUGUUGGGUUAAGUCCCGCAACGAGCGCAACCCCUGUUCUUAGUUGCCAGCACGUUAAGGUGGGAACUCUAAGAAGACUGCCGGUGAUAAAUCGGAGGAAGGUGGGGACGACGUCAAAUCAUCAUGCCCUAUAUGUCCUGGGCUACACACGUACUACAAUGGCUAUAACAAAGGGAAGCAAAACCGCGAGGUGGAGCAAAACCCAAAAAAGUAGUCUCAGUUCGGAUUGAAGGCUGAAAUUCGCCUUCAUGAAGCCGGAAUUGCUAGUAAUGGCAGGUCAGCAUACUGCCGUGAAUACGUUCCCGGGCCUUGUACACACCGCCCGUCACACCAUGAGAGUUGGGAAUACCCGAAGCCUGUGAGCUAACUGUAAAGAGGCAGCAGUCGAAGGUAGAAUCAAUGAUUGGGGUGAAGUCGUAACAAGGUA